GACGAACGCUGGCGGCGCGCCUAACACAUGCAAGUCGAACGAGAGAUGAGGAGCUUGCUCUUCAAAUCGAGUGGCGAACGGGUGAGUAACGCGUGAGGAACCUGCCUCAAAGAGGGGGACAACAGUUGGAAACGACUGCUAAUACCGCAUAAGCCCACGGCUCGGCAUCGAGCAGAGGGAAAAGGAGCAAUCCGCUUUGAGAUGGCCUCGCGUCCGAUUAGCUAGUUGGUGAGGUAACGGCCCACCAAGGCGACGAUCGGUAGCCGGACUGAGAGGUUGAACGGCCACAUUGGGACUGAGACACGGCCCAGACUCCUACGGGAGGCAGCAGUGGGGAAUAUUGCACAAUGGGGGAAACCCUGAUGCAGCGACGCCGCGUGGAGGAAGAAGGUCUUCGGAUUGUAAACUCCUGUUGUUGAGGAAGAUAAUGACGGUACUCAACAAGGAAGUGACGGCUAACUACGUGCCAGCAGCCGCGGUAAAACGUAGGUCACAAGCGUUGUCCGGAAUUACUGGGUGUAAAGGGAGCGCAGGCGGGAGAACAAGUUGGAAGUGAAAUCCAUGGGCUCAACCCAUGAACUGCUUUCAAAACUGUUUUUCUUGAGUAGUGCAGAGGUAGGCGGAAUUCCCGGUGUAGCGGUGGAAUGCGUAGAUAUCGGGAGGAACACCAGUGGCGAAGGCGGCCUACUGGGUACCAACUGACGCUGAGGCUCGAAAGUGUGGGUAGCAAACAGGAUUAGAUACCCUGGUAGUCCACACCGUAAACGAUGAUUACUAGGUGUUGGAGGAUUGACCCCUUCAGUGCCGCAGUUAACACAAUAAGUAAUCCACCUGGGGAGUACGACCGCAAGGUUGAAACUCAAAGGAAUUGACGGGGGCCCGCACAAGCAGUGGAGUAUGUGGUUUAAUUCGACGCAACGCGAAGAACCUUACCAAGUCUUGACAUCCCUUGACGAUGCUGGAAACAGUAUUUCUCUUCGGAGCAAGGAGACAGGUGGUGCAUGGUUGUCGUCAGCUCGUGUCGUGAGAUGUUGGGUUAAGUCCCGCAACGAGCGCAACCCUUAUGGUCAGUUACUACGCAAGAGGACUCUGGCCAGACUGCCGUUGACAAAACGGAGGAAGGUGGGGAUGACGUCAAAUCAUCAUGCCCUUUAUGACUUGGGCUACACACGUACUACAAUGGCGUUAAACAAAGAGAAGCAAGACCGCGAGGUGGAGCAAAACUCAGAAGCAACGUCCCAGUUCGGACUGCAGGCUGCAACUCGCCUGCACGAAGUCGGAAUUGCUAGUAAUCGUGGAUCAGCAUGCCACGGUGAAUACGUUCCCGGGCCU
rnacentral:rRNA from 1 species